AAAAUCAGAAUUGGCUUGAAUUUUAGUCACAACGUUUUUUCCCCACAAAGUAAGACACACAGGCAGAAUGGAAAUGAUAAUAUCAUUGUCUUUAUUUUCCUUAUUACUACAAAAUAAAGAAAUGAAGCCAGAGGGGCCUAGCCCGUUGCUUGGCUUUGGCCCAUGCAGGGUCUCAGCAUUUGUCCUAGUCACGUGGCCUCUCUGUGGCCUCAUUGUGAGUCAGAAAGCAAUCUGGUCCAGGCAUCAAAGCCUGAAAAGUUUUCCCAUUUCCUUCCCCACAUUCAAAACAAAACAGCUCUGGGCAAGGAUGCAUUUCCAUCCCAUGGUUAUUUGAUAGAAAAAGAAAAACCCAGUUUGGAAUAAAAAAGCAUUCUUAAAACAAAUAUCAAUUACCUGUGGUAAAAAAAAAAAAUACACACACGUAUACCUGCUAAUGUGCACUACUGUUCCAGCUGCCUGCAGAACGGUUAUGUUGUCUUUAGUUAAUAUUACUGAUUCAUUUCCACAUGAGUACUUUGUGAGUUAAAUACAUUCAUGUGGUUCUUUUUUUGUAAAGAUUCCAAAGUGCGUCAUUAAGAAUAAACCAAGGAAAAAAAUAAAACCCCCGUUUCUUUUCAGGGGGUCCCAGGUCCCUGUGUAGCCGGGAGGGGAUCCCUGCAUGGGCGGCUGUAGCGGAGCAGCGGCUGCCCCACGGCCCAGAGAGUUUCGCUCCUGUCCAGGGCCGGCCUGACCCCGUGGGCUGCUGAGUUUGGAAGCCCUGGUUAAUAAGCAGGGUUUACAAACAGCCAGCAUUGGCUCAUCAUCCUCCCGGCGAAAAUCUGGCCGAGUACAUUGGAACGCUGAAAAACGGUUUCCUUUCAACAAAGUGAAAGCAGCUGCUUCACACAAGAAGCAUUCACGGCGUUUGUGGAAGUCAUCGUGCCCUCAUUCAAACGCUGUAAUGCUCAGAUGUGCAAGCGGCAGAUGGCCCCUCCUCCCUGUCACGCAGCAGGCGGUCUGGCGGGACACCCUUGGCGCCUCCGAGGAGGCCGGCGUGUGCUGGAAGGCAUCGAGGGGCGGCCCACCCCAGCUUUGUGCCAGACACCUGCUGAGGACACGAUGAAUGAGACUGCGUGCCCUGCUCUGGAGAAGCUCAGCCUGGAAGGAGUUAGCCAAAUAUUCAUACCCCGAGAGCUGCCUGAGAAGUGACUGCUGCGUCUUACAGUUGCCAUCAGAAGAAUGUGUGUCGAGUGUCGCCAGCACUGACACUUCCCUGGAAAUACCCAUCCCUCAGGAAUUUAAAACUGAUUGUUUCGUCACCAUGACUUCAAGCUGAGGCCUUCGUGAUUAGUAAUGCCUAAAUGUGAUCUAACUUUCUGAGAAUGAGGAAAGUGAUGACAAUGAAAGCUGCAAUUUUUUUUGACAAAGGAUAAAUUUUUUUUAAUUGAGGUCAUGAUGGUUUAUAACAUUGUGAAAUUUCAAUUGUACAUUGUUAUCUGUCCAUCACCACAUGAGUGCGCCCCUUCAGCCCCUGUGCCCACCUCCCAGCCCCCUCCC